GACGAACGCUGGCGGCGUGCCUAAUACAUGCCAGUAGAACGCUGAAGGAAGGGCUUGCUUCUCUGGAUGAGUUGCGAACGGGUGAGUAACGCGUAGGUAACCUGCCUGGUAGCGGGGGAUAACUAUUGGAAACGAUAGCUAAUACCGCAUAAUAGUAGAUGUUGCAUGACAUUUGCUUAAAAGGUGCAAUUGCAUCACUACCAGAUGGACCUGCGUUGUAUUAGCUAGUUGGUGAGGUAACGGCUCACCAAGGCAACGAUACAUAGCCGACCUGAGAGGGUGAUGGGAGGAACUGGGAUGGGGACACGGCCGAGACGCGUAGGGGAGGCAGCAGUGGGGAGUGUGGGGAAGUGGAGGGAAGUAGGACCGAGCAACGCCGCGUGAGUGAAGAGGGUUGGCGGGUCGUAAAGCUCUGUUGUAAGAGAAGAAAGAGUGUGGGAGGGGAAAGUGCACGCUGGGACGGUAGCUGACCAGAAAGGGACGGCUAACUACGUG
rnacentral:rRNA from 1 species